AAAAAGUUUUGAACUUCUUUUAUUGCCCCUAUACUAUUUGAGCACCAAAACUUAUUGAAGGGUAUUUGUGACUUUUACUUCAAAUUUGAAAAAAUCAUACUUUAAAUUUCAAAAUUUAGGCCUCCGCUCGCUCUCCUCUCUCACGCGCCUUUCUAUUUUAUCUCUCUCCUUGCCGUCCCUUAUCCUUUCUCACCUGAUCUCUCUCGCCUUGCCCUCCCCAGCCCUCUCUCGCUUGAUCAGAAAAAAUGCUAAAAUGCUAGGAAAAAAUGGAAGUGCUUUUCUGCACAUUUUUUUUUUUUACAGAUAGACACCUUAGUUGUUACCUCAAGAAAACCCUAAUUUUCACCUUCAUGUGAUCCCAGCUAUGGAGAUCUCCGAUCGCACGAGACUUGAAUAAUUAGGAUCAAGAAUUGGGAGAUUCAUAGCUUACUCUGCGUAUUUUGAAUGGGGAACUGUAUGGGGCAGUGAGUGUAGAGCCUCUGGUUUGAAGUGUGGUGGUGAAGAUAUUUGGUUUCAAAGCCAUUAAGUAGAAGGCGUGAGAGCUUCUUGCUCAUGUAUUUUCAAGGCCAAAAAAUAUUCUUGAUAGAGACAGAGAGAGAUGUAACAAAGUUGUAAUCAUAUAAUUCGAAUUUGAAUUUUAUGCAAGCAAUGCUAAGGGAGAUAUCACUUACUCUCUCUCUCUCUUAACUUUUAAAACAAUUAAUGUAUUUUAUCUUGUGCCUACAUUAAUAAAGUUUUUCUUAUUCAAUGGGAAGUUGUGUUU